UACAGAGGGUGCAAGCGUUAAUCGGAAUUACUGGGCGUAAAGCGCACGUAGGUGGCUUUGCAAGUUAGAGGUGAAAGCCCGGGGCUCAACUCCGGAAUUGCCUUUAAAACUGCAUCGCUAGAAUUGUGGAGAGGUAAGUGGAAUUCCGAGUGUAGAGGUGAAAUUCGUAGAUAUUCGGAAGAACACCAGUGGCGAAGGCGGCCGACUGGACGAAUACUGACGCUGAGACACGAAAGCGUGGGGAGCAAACAGG
rnacentral:rRNA from 1 species